rnacentral:lncRNA from 1 species
AACAGUAACCGGACUCAACCGACCAUCUAUUCUAAGUCCAUGGCCUCCAACCAUGCCUGGAUUAUAUCCCUGAGUGAAACCAUUAGCAAAGCUACCAACUCUACUCAUAGCAUAACUAUAUCCACCUAACUGGCCUCUACUUGGACUUGGAGAUAAUUCCUUGGGAACAGCUCUCUUAACCUCAACCAUUUUACCAUUCAGUUCAUGAAAAGUUUUGUACAGAACUUUCUCAACUCCUUCCUCAGAAUCAAAGGUUAUGAAUCCAAAACCUCUAGGCCUUUGUGUGUUAUGGUCAUACAUCACGACAACAUCUGUAAUUGUUCCAAACUGAUCAAAGUAGUUCUUAAAAUCACUCUCAGUAAUUGUGGAUGGUAGACCUCCAACAAAUAUCUUCUUUGUGCGGACAGGAGAAGGAACUGGCGACCCAUGACUGCUGCUGUUGCUUCUGCUCAGAACAUUCUGAUCAUCUCUAGGGACAGCCUUUUUUGCUUCCACCUGCAUGUCGAAUUCAUGACAAUAAAACUCAAUUUAACAUCUUAGUCUGAAUUAUAAAUAAGCAGGCCACUAUAAAAACUAAUAGAAUCUAUGAGAAAGAACGAUUGCUGGUCAGGAUUUCAAGUAAAUGAAUGUGUUAGGGAGACUGCAAAUUAUAUACUUAGAGAUUAGAUCACAAUUUGGACUAAUAGGAAAUAGAGACUAAAUUGUAUCGUCCUUUCCAUGUUUCUUCUUCAUAUUAAUCCCUAGUUCCCUACCCCCCAAAAAAAGAAGCUUACAGGUUAUGGUUGCAUUGUUGCCAAUGCUUGAACCAGCAUACCCCAUGGCAUUAUUGUACCUGCUCGGACUUCCAUUGUAUGAAGAGUUCAGCGCCCGUCCUAUGACGAAGUUAGAUGUAAAGUUUGCACUUUCAUUUUGGCUCAAUGGUAGCUCAAAGUUGAGUUCUGACCCAUAAUUAGGACUCAAAAGAGGAUAUCCGCUACGACCAACAGUAACCGGACUCAACCGACCAUCUAUUCUAAGUCCAUGGCCUCCAACCAUGCCUGGAUUAUAUCCCUGAGUGAAACCAUUAGCAAAGCUACCAACUCUACUCAUAGCAUAACUAUAUCCACCUAACUGGCCUCUACUUGGACUUGGAGAUAAUUCCUUGGGAACAGCUCUCUUAACCUCAACCAUUUUACCAUUCAGUUCAUGAAAAGUUUUGUACAGAACUUUCUCAACUCCUUCCUCAGAAUCAAAGGUUAUGAAUCCAAAACCUCUAGGCCUUUGUGUGUUAUGGUCAUACAUCACGACAACAUCUGUAAUUGUUCCAAACUGAUCAAAGUAGUUCUUAAAAUCACUCUCAGUAAUUGUGGAUGGUAGACCUCCAACAAAUAUCUUCUUUGUGCGGACAGGAGAAGGAACUGGCGACCCAUGACUGCUGCUGUUGCUUCUGCUCAGAACAUUCUGAUCAUCUCUAGGGACAGCCUUUUUUGCUUCCACCUGCAUGUCGAAUUCAUGACAAUAAAACUCAAUUUAAC